rnacentral:rRNA from 1 species
UGAGGAAUAUUGGUCAAUGGGCGGGAGCCUGAACCAGCCAAGCCGCGUGAGGGAGGAAGGCCCUAUGGGUCGUAAACCUCUUUUGUCAGGGAACAAAAGCGAGUAUGUAUACUAGUCUGAGUGUACCUGAAGAAAAAGCAUCGGCUAACUCCGUGCCAGCAGCCGCGGUAAUACGGAGGAUGCGAGCGUUAUCCGGAUUUAUUAGGUUUAAAGGGUGCGUAGGCGGCGGUGCAAGUCAGCGGUAAAAGCCCGGGGCUCAACCCCGGCGAGCCGUUGAAACUGCAGUGCUAGAGAAGGCGAGAGGUACGCGGAAUGCGCAGUGUAGCGGUGAAAUGCUUAGAUAUUGCGCAGAACUCCGAUUGCGAAGGCAGCGUACUGGCGCCUGACUGACGCUGAGGCACGAAAGCGUGGGGAUCGAACAGGAUUAGAUACCC